rnacentral:rRNA from 1 species
GAGCUGUCCCUAGUACGAGAGGACCGGGAUGGACGUACCUCUGGUGGACCGGUUGUGGCGCCAGCCGCAUUGCCGGGUAGCUAUGUACGGACGGGAUAACCGCUGAAAGCAUCUAAGCGGGAAGCCCCCUUCAAGACGAGAUCUCCCUGAGGACUUGAUCCUCCUAAAGUGCCGUUGAAGACGACGACGUUGAUAGGCUGGGUGUGUAAGUACAGUGAUGUAUUGAGCUAACCAGUACUAAUUGCACGUGAGGCUUGACC